AUACAGAGGGUGCAGCGUUAAUCGGAAUUACUGGGCGUAAAGCGCGCGUAGGCGGUUUGUUAAGUUGGAUGUGAAAGCCCCGGGCUUAACCUGGGAGGGUCAUUCAAAACUGGCAGACUAGAGUGUGGUAGAGGGUAGUGGAAUUCCUAGUGUAGCGGUGAAAUGCGUAGAGAUUAGGAGGAACACCAGUGGCGAAGGCGACUGCCUGGACCAACACUGACGCUGAGGUGCGAAAGCGUGGGUAGCGAACAGGAUUAGAAACCCUAGUAGUCC
rnacentral:rRNA from 1 species